GAUGAACGCUGGCGGCGUGCCUAAUACAUGCAAGUCGAGCGAAGCGGGGACGGGUGAGUAACACGUGGCUAACCUCCUAUAAGACUGGGAUAACUUCGGGCACCCGGAGCUAACCCGGCUCCUUAUAGCUGGCUCCGCGCUGCAUUAGCUAGUUGGUAAGGUAACGGCUUACAAAGGCAACGAUGCAUAGCCGACCUGAGAGGGUGAGCGGCCAAACGGGAACUGAGACACGGUCCAGACUCCUACGGGAGGCAGCAGUAGGGAAUCUUCCGCAAUGGGCGAAAGCCUGACGGAGCAACGCCGCGUGAGUGAGGAAGGUCUUCGGAUCGUAAAACUCUGUUAGUAGGGAAGCGGUACCUAAUCAGAAAGCAACGGCUAACUACGUGCCAGCAGCCGCGGUAAUUC
rnacentral:rRNA from 1 species